rnacentral:rRNA from 1 species
UACGUAGGGUGCAAGCGUUAAUCGGAAUUACUGGGCGUAAAGCGUGCGCAGGCGGUUGUGCAAGACCGAUGUGAAAUCCCCGGGCUUAACCGGGAGUGGUCGGUGGAAACUGCUCGUCUGGAGGACGGUAGAGGUAGGUAGAAUUCCCGGUGUAGUGGUGAAAUGCGUAGAGAUCGGGAGGAAUACCUGUGGCGAAGGCGGCCUACUGGGCCGGACCUGACGCUGAGACGCGAAGGCGUGGGGAGCGAACGGGG